rnacentral:rRNA from 1 species
CUAAUACCGGAUAACACUCUGUCCUGCAUGGGACGGGGUUAAAAGCUCCGGCGGUGAAGGAUGAGCCCGCGGCCUAUCAGCUUGUUGGUGGGGUAAUGGCCUACCAAGGCGACGACGGGUAGUCGGCCUGAGAGGGCGACCGGCCACACUGGGACUGAGACACGGCCCAGACUCCUACGGGAGGCAGCAGUGGGGAAUAUUGCACAAUGGGCGAAAGCCUGAUGCAGCGACGCCGCGUGAGGGAUGACGGCCUUCGGGUUGUAAACCUCUUUCAGCAGGGAAGAAGCGAAAGUGACGGUACCUGCAGAAGAAGCGCCGGCUAACUACGUGCCAGCAGCCGCGGUAAUACGUAGGGCGCAAGCGUUGUCCGGAAUUAUUGGGCGUAAAGAGCUCGUAGGCGGCUUGUCACGUCGGAUGUGAAAGCCCGGGGCUUAACCCCGGGUCUGCAUUGGAUACGGGCUAGCUAGAGUGUGGUAGGGG